rnacentral:pre_miRNA from 1 species
CAGACGUGUCACCCCCACAUACAAUGGACAAUAUGCUAUUAUAAUUGUACGGCAUUGUCCUUGCUGUUUGGAGAUAAUACUGCUGAC